CCAGACUCCUACGGGAGGCAGCAGUGGGGAAUAUUGCACAAUGGGGGAAACCCUGAUGCAGCAACGCCGCGUGAGUGAGGAAGUAUUUCGGUAUGUAAAGCUCUAUCAGCAGGGAAUAGAAAAGAAGGUACCUGAAAAAGAAGCCCCGGCUAACUACGUGCCAGCAGCCGCGGUAAUACGUAGGGGGCAAGCGUUAUCCGGAUUUACUGGGUGUAAAGGGAGCGUAGACGGAAAGGCAAGUCAGAAGUGAAAGCCCAAGGCUCAACCAUGGGACUGCUUUUGAAACUGUCAAACUAGAGUAAGGGAGAGGUAAGAGGAAUUCCUAGUGUAGCGGUGAAAUGCGUAGAUAUUAGGAGGAACACCAGUGGAGAAGGCGUCUUAACGGAAAGAAACUGACGUUGAGGCUCGAAAGCGUGGGGAGCAAACAGGAUUAGAUACCCGCGUAUA
rnacentral:rRNA from 1 species